CUGUUUAUGUUCUUACAAGAUUGGUUCUCAACGUUUCACAGGCAUACCUUGCUUUCUUUGUCAUCAAUGACCUACAAAUGGCCCAAUCAGCCAAAGCUUUGGUUCCUGCUCUCAUACAUCUGCAGCUUCGUUGUGUC